AUGAAGAGAUAGAGAAGAGUUGAACGAAAGCAACUUCAAACACACAUGUAUCAGCAUCAGAACAAAGACCAUCUGGGUCGGUUGGGCUUUGGUUUGAUUUGAAGUAGCAACCAGGAAGAUAACUAAGGAGAACAAAAAAUUUAGUGAGAAAUUUAAAUCAAACCAUUUUAACUCUUGCCUCUCUUUCAAUCCUUGAAGGGGAUAUUGUUCAGGAUGUUCCUCAGCAACAGGAAAUUGAGUAAAGAACAACCCUUUUUCAUGGCCCGAUCAUAAACCCCUGCUAAUGAUAGUCCUUUACUAUCACCAUCUUUAUCAUCUUCUUCCAAGUUAUAAUCAGAUAUUAGAUGGACUCCGCAUUUGAGUAUGACCUCGCUAAUAGGUAUUAGAGAAUUGGGAAUGGCAUAGAAUUGAAAUGAGGCCUCUUUGAUACGAAAUUUCUUGGGAUUUAAGUGAAUGGUGGAAUGCCAGAGUGACAUGCGAUGCAUAUUGACUAGUCUGCAACCGGAAAGAGUUUUGAGGAUAUCUCCAGACUCAGCUAUGAAGCGGCAUUUGCGUACAAUAAGAGUCCUGUAGAAAUUACGAGAAUCAUUAACUUUGGGUGUGAAUAGAGCACAAAAAGCAAUCUUGAUGAGGUGGGUUGCAUGGGAAUGAGGCUGAGGUGCUGUGAGAGAGAAUGACAAU
rnacentral:misc_RNA from 1 species